AUUGAACGCUGGCGGCAUGCCUUACACAUGCAAGUCGAACGGCAGCACGGGUGCUUGCACCUGGUGGCGAGUGGCGAACGGGUGAGUAAUACAUCGGAACGUACCUUAUCGUGGGGGAUAACGCAGCGAAAGCUGUGCUAAUACCGCAUACGCCCUGAGGGGGAAAGCGGGGGAUCGCAAGACCUCGCGCGAUUAGAGCGGCCGAUGCCUGAUUAGCUAGUUGGUGGGGUAAAAGCCCACCAAGGCGACGAUCAGUAGCGGGUCUGCGAGGACGAUCAGCCACACUGGGGCUGAGACACGGCCCAGACUCCUACGGGAGGCAGCAGUGGGGAAUUUUGGACAAUGGGGGCAACCCUGAUCCAGCAAUGCCGCGUGAGUGAAGAAGGCCUUCGGGUUGUAAAGCUCUUUUGUCAGGGAAGAAACACCGGCUCUAACACAGUCCGGGAAUGACGGUACCUGGAGAAUAAGCACCGGCUAACUACGUGCCAGCCGCCGCCGUAA
rnacentral:rRNA from 1 species